AUGGGUUUCUUGGUUGUGUUUCUGAUGGUUUCCGGAAGGCCCUCGAGUCUCAGCAGGAAGCAGCAGCUUCAAUGUUUUGUGCAACAUGAGACAGUGUGGAGGACAGGACUUUGUUCUGAGGGGCCCUGGGAAACAAACACACCCUGCAGGCAGCAGUCCCAGCCAUCCCAGGAGUCUCAGAGUCGCCACAAGGAUCAAGCAACGUCCUCUACUGAGAAGAUACCGUUCUGUGGCUAACCAAGUUUCCUCAAGGCUUCGAGACUCCAUCCAUUACUGUCUUCUCUCCAGGGAGGAAGCCCGUGGCUGAGGGUGGGGAUGCUGAGAACCGGGAAGAAGUAAACAAAGAUGAGAGUGUGAGGAAAGGAGAGAAGAAUAUGCCAAGGAAGGCUGGUAGACAUUUGUUUGAUGUGUUCUCCUCAAUUGCUUACCAUUUUAUUUUUGAGGUAAGGUCUCUCAGUGAACCUGGAGCUCACUGAAUUGGCUACUCUGGAUGUCUAGAAAGCCCCCGAGGACCCUUCUGUCUCUGCCUCUCUGCAUUUGGAAUGCGCAUAUUUAUUUAUUUAUUUAUUUAUUUAUUUAUUUAUUUAUUUAUUUAUUUAUUUNNNNNNNNNNUACACAGGUUCUGGGAUAUCAAACUUGGAUCCCCAUAUUUGCAUGGCAAACCCUUUGCCAAAAUAAGCCACUUUCCCAGUAGCACUGGGUAGUUCAGUGUCAACUUGAGGCAAGCUAGAGUCAUCUCCAAAGAGGGAACCUCAGUUAAGAAAAUGCCUCCCUAAGAUCAGACUGUAGACAGGCCUGUAGGGACAUUUUCUUAAUUAGCAAUUGAUAUGGAAGGACCAAGUCAAUGUGGGUAGAACAUUCCUGGACUGACAGUAUUGGGUUCUAUAAGGAAGCAGGCUGAGCAAGCCAUGAGGAACAAGCCAAUGAGCAGCACUCCUCUAUGGCCUCUGUCUCAGAUCCUGCCUCCAGGUUCCUGCCUGUUUGAGUUACUGCUCUGAUUGCCUUCAAUGAUGAACAGUGAUAGGGAUAAGUAAGCAAAAGUAUCCCCUUCCUCCUCAAGUGUCUUAGUUAGGGUUUUACUGCUGUGAACAGACACUAUGACCAAAGCAACUCUUAUAAGGACAACAUUUAAUUGGGCUGGCUAACAGGUUCAAAGGUUCAGUCUAUUAUCAUCAAGGAGGAAUCAUCUAGGCAGGCAUGAUGCAAGCAGAGCUGAGAGUUCUACAUCUUCACCUGUAGGCUGCUAGAAAAAUACUGGCUUCCAGGAAGCUAGGAUGAAGGUAACAUCUACUCUAAUAAGGCCACAUCUACUCUAACAAGUGCCACUUCCUGGGCCGAGUAUAUACCAUCACACCAAGUAUCACACCAACAAUAACUCUAAAAUAUCAGUUCUCAUGGAUAAUUAUUUUACUGUUCAAAAACCCUCUCUCCACUGAAGCAUCCAGCACAGGUACUACAUGGGUCUGUACCAGGUCCUCUCUGUAUAGCUUUCAGGGUUUUUUAUGGGACUCCUGAAUAUAUGAAUGAAUGGGCCUCUAAUUCUUAUGCUUUCUCUUAGGGCUCUUUUUCUUUAAUUGAUUUACCUUGUCCAACUUCAGUGUGAUAGUCCUUGUUUAUCUUAUUAGGCUUUAUUUUCUUAUAUUUUGUUGUUAUCUAUUAGAAGCUUGUUCUCUUCUAAUGAGAGAUGAAAAGAGAGGAUUUGAAUGGGGGAGAAGCUGGGGAGGAACCAGGAGGAGUAGAGGGAGAGGAAACUGUAAUCAAGAUAUAGUGUAUGAGAAAAGAAUUCAUUUUUAAUAAAAGGGGACAAUUAAAAUAAAGAGAGAAAGGA
rnacentral:lncRNA from 1 species